AUACCUUUCUCGGCCUUUUGGCUAAGAUCAAGUGUAGUAUCUGUUCUUAUCAGUUUAAUAUCUGAUAUGUGGGCUACAUGCCCACAAUGAUAUUAAAUUUAUUUUUUAUGGGGAAAGAGCCACCACAAUAGCUUGCUAUUGGGCCUCUCUUGUGUUGCCUAGGCGUUGCACUACCGCCUAGGCCGGCGCACCCCAA
rfam:Triticum aestivum genome assembly, contig: Triticum_aestivum_CS42_TGACv1_scaffold_129845_2BL